GAUGAAAAGCCACAGACCCUCCAGGCCAACUUGCAGGGUGCAAGCCCUGCGAGAGGAAAAGAAAGAGGUCCCUGCACAAGAAAGCUGGUGGUGGCUUGGCCUCAAUGACAGGGCUGCCACAUCAGUAGGCGAUGUUAGAUCAGCAUUGGGUACUCCUGUCUAGGUGCAGUUCUGCUGCCUGCAUCGCCUGUAAGGCCAAACCCCGCCUCCUCCAUCCUGCCCCCCCCAGCAUCCCGAUGGAGACUGCAGGAUGCUGACACAGAAAGCCUGCAGUUGCUGGGAGCUUCUCCAGGAUGCAGCCUGUGCGUGGAAAAAGGUUUGGACAAGGAGAAGGAGAGGAAAGAGAAACAAAAGUCCUCGGUUUGAGUCAGGGACAGAUUUCGAGCUGAGAGCUGGUUGCUGGGUGGGGGCUGUGGAAGGGACGCAUGCAGUUCCUGGCUAUGGCUCUUCUGCCCCCUGACCCACCUGGCGAAGCUCCUGUCAGCCCAGAGGGGGGACUCAGCCGCAGCAGGAAGUGGCCUCUCAGGAAGGACUCAGGGCAAGCAAGUGCAGAGAAGAGUGGAGAACCUGGUUUCUAAUUCCCAGAGAUUCUGAAGUCAGCACUCUUGGGGUCACAUGUGAAGCAAGGGGAUGAGGACCAAGAAGGAACAAAGAAGCAGGCUAAACUACUUCCUCAAGUUCAGAACAAAGGGACAUGAAAACAGGACAAUCUGCAACUCCGCAGGGACCGCAAGCCCAGAAGGGGAAAGUGGUGCAUCGGGAAACCCAGCAACAUGAGAACUAAGAGCCCAUCUGUCCUUAUUCCCAGUGGCCCGUGAGUGGGAAGAUAUGUUCUCUCCCUCCAAACCCCCAAGCGCCAGACCUUAUUCUGCCAUGAGAUAUCUGUGCAGCCUGGUAUAAAGAGGAACACAGAAAGGAACCCUACCCGUGGAAUAAAUGGAUUUCUUUCCCUCCUCUAAGUGAUCAUGACACUCUAGAAUUAGACCACACUUUCCUUCUCGUGGUAAUAGCACACCAUCAAAACCAAUCAGAGCCAGGAUGGCAAGUCCAGCCACAUUGUCUGGGAAUCUAGCUUGGCAUUUAUGUAGAGAUGCAGGGCAACAGAAAUCCUGCCCGAAGCAAGCGCUCAACCAGUAGGGAGAAGGAAUAAUAAGUUGGCAGGACUAGAAAGUGUCAUCUGGCAAAAAGCCCUAAGGGAGAGAAGGAAGAGAUCCUGUGGCACAGGCCAGAGGAAGAAGAGAAGGAACUGGCUCACAGAUAACAAUGCAAAGAUUUCAAAUUUGGCAUGGAGGCCGAUCCAGGAGCAAAAUUCCCCCACAGUAGGACCUACCUCAGGUACAAAGGCAGCCAGCUGUCCGUCCUCACUCUUCAGGGACGCAUCCCUCAGUCCAGGCUGAGGCU